CCGACGGAGAGUUUGAUCCUGGCUCAGGGCGAACGCUGGCGGCGUGCCUAAAACAUGCAAGUCGAGCGGGGGUUGGCCGCGGGGCAACCCGCGGUUUCAGCUCUAGCGGCGAACGGGUGAGUAACACGUGGGUAACCUGCCCCGAAGACGGGGACAACCUCGGGAAACCGGGGCUAAUACCCGAUGCCCUCCCCCGGGGGCAUCCCUGGGGGAGGAAAGGGUCGGGCGCAAGCCCUUCCGCUUCGGGAUGGGCCCGCGGCCUAUCAGCUCGUUGGUGGGGUAACGGCCCACCAAGGCGAUGACGGGUAGCUGGCCUGAGAGGGUGGUCAGCCACACUGGGACUGAGACACGGCCCAGACUCCUACGGGAGGCAGCAGUUGGGAAUCUUGGGCAAUGGGCGCAAGCCUGACCCAGCGACGCCGCGUGGGGGAUGAAGGCCUUCGGGUUGUAAACCCCUGUCAGGAGGGACGAAGCCCACUCGUCGGGAGUGGGGGACGGUACCUCCAGUGGAAGCCCCGGCUAACUACGUGCCA
rnacentral:rRNA from 1 species